CCAGGCGCCCCAAGGACCUGUCCCCGUCCACUGGGAUCCCCAGGGACACACCUCCACUCACCCAACGCCCCAGGGACACAUCCCCGACCACUGAGAGCCCCAGGGAUGUGUCACUGGCCAUGAGGCACCCCCAGAACCUGUCCCUGGUCACUGAGCACCCCAAGGACAUGCUCUGGGCUAGCAGGCACCCCAAGGAUGUGUCCCCAGUCCCCAGAAGUCCCAGGGACAUGUCACCAGCCACCAAGCACCAGAGGGACACAGUCUUGGCCAUCAGGCACCCUGAGGACACACCCCUGGUCACCAGGUGCCCCAGGGACCCAUUACCAGGGACCAAGUGCCAGCAGGACAUGUCACCAUCCACUAGGCACCCCAAGGACAUGUCCCCAGCCAGCAAGCACCCAAGGGACACAUCCUCAGGCAUGAGGCUGCCCCAGGAGAUGUCCCCAGGGACUAGGAUCCCCAAGGAGAUGUCCCCAGCUACCAGGCACUGCAGGGACAAGUUCCUGGCCACUAGGUAUGCCAAGGACAUGUCCCCAGCCAACAGGCACCCCAAGGACCUGUCACUGGUGACCAAGCACCCAAGUGACAUGUUCCUGUCCAGCAGGUACCCUGAGAACAUGUCACCAUCCAUGAGGCACCCCAGGGACACAUCCCCAGUCACCAGACACCCUGAGGAGAUGUCACCAGUCCCUGAGCACCACAGGGACAAGUUCUUGGGCACCAGGUACCCUGAGGACAUGUCACCAGACACUGGGCACAUAAAGGACACAUCCCCAUCCACUGGGCACAUAAGGGACACAUCCCCAGUCACCAGGCAUCCUGAAGAGGUGUCCCCAGUAACUGGUCACCGGAGGGACAUGUUCUUGGGCACCAGGUACCCCAAGGACAUGUCCCCAGCCACUAGCCACACCAGGGACACAUCACUGGAGACCAGGCACCCAAGGGACAUGUUCCUGGCUACCAGGUACCCCAAGGACAUGUCCCCAGACACCAGGCACCCAAGGGACAGGUCCCCAGUCACCGGGCGCCUCUCACCAGCGUUCAGCGACGGGGUCCUCACGCAACAGCAGGUGGCUGAGGACCUGGAGAUGGACCAGGACACCACCUGCCUCAGACCCCCGGCACCAAGCACGCCACAGUCCUUCUCACCACUGCACACCUACGGCUACAUCUACGCG
rnacentral:lncRNA from 1 species